GGGAGCUGUCAAGGGCCUAGGGAAUGUGGAUCAGGUGAUGAAGGCCAUAACCGGGUUAGGGCUUGUUUCGACUAUUGAGUUGGGGGUGAACAGUGUUUGGGUUUUUCAGGGUCGGAUCACGAAAGCUUUUGGAAAGACUCCAUCAAGCUCUGAAACUCCCGACAGCCAAGGAUGGACCGAGGAAGGGUUUUUGUUGGGUCGUCUUCGUGUGGCCUUGCAUUGCAAGAUGACAGAUAAAAUAAUUUUUACUCCGUAGCCGAAACCCUUUUCGCAGGAACCAGUGGGUGUCACGACGUCCAAAUCGGGGACCUGUCUUGAUCCGAGUAAACACUUGGUGAUUAUCUUCUAAAAAGCCAAGAACCAACAGUCAACGGUAUGUUAGCAGGGGAUACCGGAGUAAUUUCAAGGAAAGGGAAGACAAAAACUAUGGGUAAAUGCUUGAGGAAGAGAUUGACAGGCUCUCAAUUUUCUAAAAAUAUUAAUAAGGUUGUUCAAGGGAAGGGGAGCAAAUUCAAGGCAGCAGGCAACUCUCGAGUUCUUUUACGGGAAUCAAUAACCUAGUUGGUUGAGGCCAUUUCAUCACAGGCCAAUGGAGUUUUUGGCUUAGUCUGAACAAGAGGGAACGACAGGUUUUUUGGGAAGAGUUGAAAUAUGUUUUACCGUAUGACCCUUUUCCUUGUUAAAUUAUGGGUGAUUUUAAUGCUGUUUUGUCACCUAAUAAUAAAAAAAAGCAUUCAUUCCUCUGGAAAGAGAUGUAACCUCUUUGGCAAUUUUGUAGAUUCAUAUAAUUUGUAGGACUUGGGAUACGUUGGCCCUUCCUUUACUUGGAAAAGAGCGAGAACGUAUGAGAGAUUAAAUCGAGCUUUGGCUAAUGAUUCUUGGAUAUCAGCCUUUCCUCAUUGUGUAGUUUGUCACCUUCCACGCAUUAAGUUUGAUCACAGGCCGAUCGUUCUGAAGACUAAUCUGGAUUUUUGUUCAUCUAUAGGAAGGGCCUUCAGAUUCAUUGUUGGUUGGACCAAACAUGUGAAUUUUCCUUCUUUUGUAAAAGAUAAGUGGAAUUCCUUCUUUCUGGUUUUACUUAUCACAUUAUAGAAUGGAAUAUGUCUGUUUACAGUUUUAUAGGUACUUGUAAAAUGAAUCUUAUGAAGUCACUCUCUAAUAUACAAAGAGCCUUGGACCACUCAGCUUCCAGUCGAUUGCUUCAAUUAGAGUGUGAUGUUCGUGACGAAUUAGAAAACUUGCUUGAUCAUGGAAAAAAGCUAGGUGUGAUUGGCUUCAGCUUAGGGAUUGUAAUACCAACUUUUUCCAUAGUCGAACGAUCCAAAUGAGGAAAUUUAAUCGCAUCACAACUUUACGUGUUGAUAAUGGUGAGUGGUGUUCUAAUCAGAAUAUCCUCAAAACCAAAUCAGUUGGAUUUUUCAAGAAAUUUUAUGGUUAAAUACCAAAGCCCAUGAAAGGAUUACCGUCCAAUUUAUUCCCUCAUCUUAAGGAGCAAGACAUUGUGUUUUUGGAAAAUGCAGUAUUUGAUGAAGAAAUUAAGAAGGCCUUAUUCGACAUAAACCCCCUAAAAGCUCCGAGAAGUAAUGGUUUUCAUACUCACUUCUUCCAAAGUCAAUGGGAUAUCGUUGGUAAUGCAGUGUGUGAGUGGGUUCAAGGUGUUUUUGAUGGUAACAACAUUGACCCAGAAUUGAACAAUACUCUUACUCCAGAGAAAGACAGCCUAGAGAAGUUCAGUUAGUUUCACCCUAUUAGCCUGUGCUCGGUAAUAUAUAAAUUGGUAAUGAAAGUAAUUGUUAAUAGAUUUAAAAUGGUGUUUUCUAACCUCAUUUCAUAGGAACAAGCCUACUUCAUUGCUAGACGAAGUAUUUCUGAUAAUGUUAUUAUAGCUCAGGAAGUCAUCCAUUCCAUGCGGACAAAAAGGAAAAGGCAAAAAUUGGAUGGCGAUCAAGUUGGACUUGGAAAGGCUUAUGACAAAAUUCUUUGGAAUAGAGUGCUAACUCAGAAAUUCAAGCCAUAUAGAAGGAUCAGACAGGGAUACCCAUUAUCACCCUAUCUCUUUGUUUUAUGUAUGGAGUGGUUAGGGCAUAUUAUUCGUGCAAAUAUUGACAAAGGUAAGUGGUGUCCAAUUUGUCUGUCAAGAAUGGGGCCUACUUUAUCCCACUUUUUUUUCGCAAAUAAUUUGGUAAUUUUCUACAAGGUGGAGCUAGAUCAAGCUCACUUAUUAGUAGGUAUCUUGAAUCACUUCUGUGAAUUCUCUGAACACAAGAUAAGUAUGAGGAAAAGCAAUAUUUACUUCUCUAAAGGAGUUGAAGA